GGCUUAGGCUUCAGGCUUAGGUUUAGGUUUAGGUUUAGGCUUAGGCUAAGGCUUAGACCUAGAUUUAGGCUUAGGCUUAGGCUUAGACGUCGGCUAAUUCUUAAACUUAGGGUUAGGCUUAGGAUUAGGCUUAGGCUU
ensembl:ncRNA Y51A2D.29 ncRNA